rnacentral:rRNA from 1 species
AGUGAACGCUGGCGGUAGGCCUAACACAUGCAAGUCGAACGGCAGCACAGUAACGGCUUGCUCUUACGGGUGGCGAGUGGCGGACGGGUGAGGAAUACAUCGGAAUCUACUUUUUCGUCGGUGAUAACGUAGGGAAACUUACGCUAAUACCGCAUACGACCUACGGGUGAAAUCAGGGGAUCUUCGGACCUUGCGCGGUUGAAUGAGCCGAUGGCGGAUUAGAUAGUUGGCGGGGUAAAGGCCCACCAAGGCGACGAUCCGUAGCUAGUCUGAGAGGAUGAUCAGCCACACUGGAACUGAGACACGGUCCAGACUACUACGCGAGGCAGCGGUGGGGAAUAUUGGACAAUGGGCGCAAGCCUGAUCCAGCCAUACCGCGCCGGUGAAGAAGGGCUUCGGGUUGUAGAGCCCUUUUGUUGGGAAAGAAAAGCAGCAGGUUAAUACCCCGAUGUGCUGACGGUACCGAAAGAAUAAGCACCGGCUAACUUCGUG